GACGAACCGGGCAAACGUUAUUCGGAAUCACUGGGCUUAAAGGGUGCGUAGGCGGCCCUGUAAGUUGGGUGUGAAAUCCCUCGGCUCAACCGAGGAAUUGCGCCCAAAACUACAGGGCUUGAGGGAGACGGAGGUGAGCGGAACUGAUGGUGGAGCGGUGAAAUGCGUUGAUAUCAUCAGGAACACCAGUGGCGAAGGCGGCUCACUGGGUCUCUUCUGACGCUGAGGCGAGAAAGCUAGGGGAGCAAACGGG
rnacentral:rRNA from 1 species